rnacentral:lncRNA from 1 species
UAUAAUUGAGUUUACUCAUUACGUCCCUAGCUAAGAUAUGAUCANAUUUUUUUUUUUCAUUAAAAAAAGUUUUCUCACAUGAAAUCCUGGAUCUGUCACUGACCUUUACACUCAGUCGUUAUGUUGACGUUUGAGGCAAAUAACUCAUAGUAAAAAAAAAAAAAAAAAAAAACUAAAUACAAGACCAGCAAGCAAGAUCAUCCAUGAAACAAAUCUCUAUAUAUUAAGCGAAGCGGGGGAGUUACUGUUUACGUCAACAGUGACCGGUCCAUUUUACCCUCCUAUUUAAAAUUUUUUGCAACUCUGCCAUUUAGUUGGCUGCUUUGUCCAUUUUGCCCUCCUACUUUUAGAGUUUUUAUAACUAUGCUAUUCAGUUGGCUGCUUUGUCCAUUUUGCCCUCCUACUUUUAGUGUUUUUACAAUUUUACCAUCAGUUAACUGUUUUUAAAAUUUUAAUUAAUCAUGCAAUAAUUUAAUUCUUAAUUGUUGAGGGGGAAACAUAAAAGGGAGAAGAAACUUUUGUUAUUAUAUUUGGUCGAAAUUACUAUGGCCAUCUUAAUCAGACAAACAUUUGUGGUUAGGUAAAGAUAUUGAUCAAACAAAGCUUCAUAAUCAAAUUUUCCAAUUCAAAAACAUCAAAUUGGCUGCGUGGUGAAAUUUAACUCAUGGCCUGAAAUCAUAUACUCUGGAUUUCAUCUUCUCAGCGUCAACGUACACAUAUAUGGUGGUGGAUUAUCCAUGCCCGGAUCUCGGAGAGGAAAUCGAAGGUCGAAAGGCUGACUUUGAUUCUUUCAGUGAUCUUUUAGAGUUUGGAUGAAUUACUUGGUUCAUGGUGACUUUGAGCUCAGGUUGAGUCUGUUGAUUUGGGUUUGGAAAUCUAUUAAGGAGAGAGGGAUUGAAAGCUAUAUAUGAUAUUAACUAAGGUAAGUUUUUUUUUUUUUUUGAGAUUAACUUAGGAAGUUUUAUAGAAAAAAAAAUACAGAAAAGUUCACAACUUAGGAAGAGAAUAUGAGAAUAUUAGGGGAA